CGCCGAUACUACUACUCCUAUUUUUGGGUUUACUGCUUUGAACAAAUCGAUUGCUUCGUCCACAAGAUAUUUCUGGAUCUGCCAUUUUUCUGGAUCUACCAUUUCCCCUCCUCCUCCUCCUCCUCCUCCUCCUCUCUCUCUCUCUCUCUCUCUCAUUUGUUGAUCGACACAUACUCAUUCUCCCCUCGCAAAAGAAGAAGAGAGAUUCAUUCAUUGAUCCGUUUGUUGGGAGAUGAUUGAUUCCCUUUCUCGAUCCAUUUGCCAAGGGAGAAUUCAACCUCUCUCCCAUUUCAUUUGUUGACAGAUAAGAUAGUCCAGCCUCUUGCAUUUUUUUGCGAUGGAUCUUGUAUUUCAUUUGUAGAGACAACAAUUCAUCCUCUCCUCCCAUUACAUUUGUAGAAAGAUAGGAUAAUCCAUCAUCCCUCGGCCAUCCCCUUUUGUCGAGAGAUAAUCCAUCCAUUACCACAUUGUCCGCAAAAUGCAUCAUGAUCAGGACAGUUAUCGUCGCGACAGGGAGCAAGGAACUCCUGGGCCGAUGAUGCCUCCGUCCAAGGGCGAGGAGGAGGAUGAGCCUCCCCGUAAGCCUCCGGUGUCCACAACAUGCUUCAUAUUAGGAUUUUUCGCCGCGCUAUGUUGCUGCUGCUUGGUCGACGAGCCGCUCAUGUGACACGCUUGUCUUGCGUGCCGUGCCGUGCUUUGUACAUACUGCAGGAAGCAUGCUAUCAUAUCAAAAUAACUCUGGCCACUCUUUGAAAUUGCUUGAACUUUUCAAACGUUUCAGACUUGUGCUUCAUUAAGUAAAUAUACCUAUAUCUA